CAACGCCCUGUCGCUACUACCGAUUGAAUGGUUUAGUGAGGUCAUUGGAUUGGCUUCGUUGUAGUGACUUUGCCGCUCGACUGAUGCUGAGAAGAUAACCUAAUUUGACUAGUUAGAAGAAGGAAAAGUCGUAACAAGAUUUCCGUAGGUGAAUCUGAGGAAG
rnacentral:ncRNA from 1 species